AUAUAUACAAAGGUUCUGUUGGGGUUUCUCCUGUAGCCUAUGACUGUUGACCCUAUACUUCACUACAUCAUCCACCCUAUUUUUCAACAUGGACAAAUCAAUUUCAUACAAGAUAAUUUCAUGUAUGAGACUUUUUAUUAGUCACUAGGUAAACAGCCUGAAAAAUAACAAAAGUGUGGUAAACUGUAAAAAUUACUUGUGCUUUAUGAUUAUUGUGUGUUUAUGAUUAUGAUUACACAAACUGUGUAAUCACUUGCUGCACAGGUUAAAUUAAAAUCUCUGAGAACUGUGGGCAGGAUAAUUAAGUGUAUUAGGGAUGCUUUGCGCCAUGCAUUAAUGUCCUGUAUGAACUCAGCCCUGGUAGAUGGUUUUACACCCCAGAACUUGCCUGAGCUGAAGGUGACCCCUAAAAAUGGAUGAGUUGUAAUAUAAACCAGACUGCAUUGUUGACAGGGAUUUGGUUUUUCAUAAUGUGGCAAAGAAAAACGUUUGUGUGUAAAAUCUGUGCAUGUUGGACAUUUGCAAGGAAAAACAGAUACUAAAUGAAGGGAUAAAAUCUCUAUUUGUGAAGAAGUACAUCCAUCAUGGAGAGUAUUGUGUAAACCUCCUGUGGAGAUCUUCAGUGUAGAGUUGUAUUAUAGCCUCAAAUAGCUCGGUAUCAAAGUUUAAUAAGAUUGUUCUGUCCUGUAAUGCUUAUGAUGUUUUUCAUAUGUUUUUUGAAUGUCCAAGACUUCCUUUAUUUGUAAUACUUGAAAGUUGAUCACAAAAUUGGGGUUUUCAUAUAACAAUACCUUAGUUUAUAUUAGGAUAUAAAUAUAAAAGUUCAUGGCAACAACAAUGAUUCUUGUAAUUUUUUAUUGGCCAAGCUAAGGCCUAGUCCACACAGACAUGGGUAUUUUUAUAACUGGAGUUUUUCCUGCUGCGGUUUAAAGAAAAUCCCCUCCACACAUGCUCGCUUAAAGAAAUCUCUGCCUACAUGAACAUGGAACAACACGAAAUUACACGCUGUCAAGAGCAUGCCACACUGGCAGGCGGUGAUAUUACUCAAAUCAUAAAGCCACCGUGGCCAAUCAGAAGCCUAACACAAGUGACGUUGCAAGGCGGUUUUACUGUCUACACAACAACACUGCACUCGGCGUUUCUUAAAAUACACACCCUGGCAGGGGUUUUCAAAAAUGUUCAGUUUUAGUGACGUGAUACUGCGUGUCUGUGUGGAUGAAAGGUGUAAAAAAGUCACGGUUAUAAAAAUACCCGUGUCCGUGUGAACAAGGCCUAAGUUUGCCAUUUUGAAAUCCCGCCAGUGCAAAAAUGCAGGAAAAUAAGGCCUAGUCCACAUGGACAUGGGUAUUUCUAACCUGAGUUUUUCCUCCAAACAAAUCCUGUUCACACAUGCUCAGUUUAAAAGAAAUCUCUGUCCACAUGAAAAAGCAAAAACACGCUAUCAAGCACUGUCAAGAGCAUGCCACACCAGUAGGCAACAAUAUAACCUCUGAUGUCAAAUACAGCAGAUAACGGUGCACACUCUGACGUCGCAGGGCAAAAACCCUGGUUUUACUGCAUCCAUCGUUUUCUUAAAAUCCUUACCCUGGCAGGGAUUUUCAAAAAUGUUUGGUUUUAGUGCCCUGAUACUGAAUUUUUGCGUGGACAAACGGCCGAACCACGUUUAAAAAUGACACGGCUUUAAAAAUACUCGGGUCCGUGUGGACUAGGUCUAAGUCUUUAAUAGAAUCGUGAGUGUCCAUUGAGUUUACAUAUUACAAAUACACAGAUAAUGUUGCUUUGUUUGAAUGCAAAUGGGGUGUGAGAGAGGCUGACUUUUUAAUAAUGGUUGUUGUGGAUCUUGUAUCAAAUUUGUCUUAAGCCCUGUUUUCUUUCUCUCUCUCUCUCUCUCUCUCUCUCUCUCCUAUAUAAUUUGAAAAUUACAUUGCUGUAGUUUGCAAUGAAUUGUGGGAGCAUGCUAAAUGCAAAUUUUACAGUAUGUCUGCAAUAUUGUAUUUUUAAAAUAGGCUAAUAUGUAAAUGCUACAGGACAACAUGUAAUGACACUUAUUAUUUUAUUUUAUGUAUUUAUUGAAAAUGUCAGCUGUGGUACUAGUUUGGAAAUAAAAGCUUUGGCACUUUACAAUAACUGCAAUAAAUGCAGCCUAUUAAAUGAAUUAUAAACAUGCAUGUAGAUUCUUUUAAUGUACAAAUCUUUGUCAAAAAUAUUUGAUAAGAAACACAUUUAGACAACAUGUGCAUAGCGCAGUACGUGUGAUGUCACGACGUCAUCAGCAAAUUUGCGCGCGGUGCACAUGCGCAUUGCGAGUAUGCGCAGACAGGUGUCUACGGAGUGGAAAGAAGUUGUUGCAUCUGAUAAUUCUUCAAUCGUGUAGCAGCAACUGCAGCUUACAUGGAAUGAGGAUUAUCGGAUUCAUCUACACUCACUGAUCAUCCAAGGUGAAUUGAUGACCUCAAGCAAAUGGAUGUUGUUGUCAUCUGAAGAGAAGGUUGUCCUGGGCCCAUGUUUAGAGGCAUUUGGGGCAUAUCAGACACAUAUCAGAAUCAAGCUGCAUGCACACUUGAGUUUAUUCAGAGAGAAGUUGUGGGCAUCAGUCCGGAAACUGGAUCAAAAAUUUGCUGCUGGAAUGUGAGACAAAUAAAGGCAUGGAAUGAACCCAAAUGUAUGAACACUGCUACGAAAACUAAUGGACUUUAAAUGGCUUGCCAGUUAAUUCCAAUGGAAUUGAAGAAGAGACUCUGACAAGAUUUUCAAGUUUGUGUUUAAUUUAAAAGUUUAUCUUCAUAGAUAAGCAAUUUAAAGGUAGGCACAGUUAAAACUAUUUCUUGUGUGUUUGUUUAAACUGUAAAUUUAUGACUGAAGUUUGGUCACUAUGUAGUAAUGUGUUCCUUUGUGGUUAAUUAAAUGCUGCAGUGCUUAGUGGUAUUCGUUGUUGUAUUUCCAAGGCUAAAGCCUUAUUUUGUGAUCUGCAUUGUAUUGGAGAGUUUUGGAAACUAAUACUUAUUAUCUUAAUGCAUUGGAAAGUUUUGGACUAUUGAACAAUAAAUGCAUUUGGCUACA